CGGGGAGACGCGAGCGUGAAAACCUCUGAGCGCAACACACAGGGCUUUAUGCACAGGCAACCCCACUUAGGUUUUUAUACUCGGUGUGCCGUGCGUCCCGUGACAAGUUUAACAUCACACUCAGCGGUGCAGUGUCUGUGGCACGUCGUGGGGUCGUGCACUCCUUGAUUUUUGUAAAUUCUACAGCUGGCGUGUACGAUCGUGUUGGGUUUUACCACUAUUUUACUGAUAUUCCAGCGCAGAACAUACUGACACACAACAGUUUGUCGAGGUUUUUUUUUUCUCUCUUUUCUUUCCACAAACUAACAUUUUCGCUUUCGGUUUUGACUUCUCCUCAUCAGCGCGUUUGGUGCGAUAUUGUUUAAGUGGCGACACCUAUCGAGAAUACCGCAGCGCCUUCUUCAGCCUGAACGGCGGGUAUAAGUAAAUAUGACUGUAUCUGUGUGAUGAUGUUAAACGAAGGGACUAUUGCAGAAGGUAUACUGCCAGCUGCGUAAUGCCGAUCCUCCCAGGCGAAGAUGUGCCGCCUCCCAUAGAAGUGUGGCCCUCUCUGCUUGCCAUACUCGCUCCGAGUGGAGGCGCAGCAGGACAGCGCCCACAUUUUCCUCUGUUUCCUGAAGAGAACAGUUCAGCUGAAAAGUUGACACGACCAAGGAAGGAAGCCGAGUUGUGGUGAUUUUUGCCCUUCAUCUACAGCUCCAAUAAACAUUGCUUCAGCAUCGACAGAGAAUGCAAGUCCUCAAACAGGCAUUUACCUUGACAUUGGCAUCAUCACUGCUGUUGUCAUUGUGGCUGUGAUUGUCUUUGCCUUGAUAGGAAUGUCUGACCAUGAAAAGGAUGACGAACGUGUCAAGUUAAAUAAAGGUACGACUUCAAGCCAGGAAACACGCUGUACAAAAUGUUGCACCAAAUAUUCUGAAUGUUGUUGCAGUCUUUUAUCCUGUUGUUGUUCAGGUUGUGCUGAAUCGCUUACCAAAGCUUGUGACAUAUGCUGCAUGUCUCUAGGUUAUGGAUGUAUGGUACCUUUAUAAAGUAUCCUUUGAAUAUUCUAUACAUCAUUUUUACUGUUAUACAGCUAUCCAUGCUCAUGAAAGUAUCUGAAUAUGUUUUGAUAUAACCUUUCUACUCAGUAAACAGACAGCAUUGUUUUACAGUGCAAGCUGCUUCCCUUCAUCCACAUGGACUCAGAAAUUACGUGCUAUUGUUUACACUCUGCAAGCCUUUGGAGCAUAGUUACCGAUGGAAAAAUAUGUUAUGCAAUGUACUAAUUAGUGUGAGCAGUGUGACAGUCAAGAGCACACUUAUAACUGUUCUUUUGAGAAGCCUGUAGAAAGAAAAGUGUUAUUGUGUGACAGUUUUACAGCAAAGGAGGGUGAGAAUGAUACAAUGUAAUAAAAAGCUCAUUGGGAACUUCCCCUUUUGAGCACUUGCAUUUGACGUACUAGAGUCUGGGACUCCUUAAAAAGAAAGACGUUCUCCAAAAAAGCAGUUUGAGGAUGUAGAGGUGACUGGGAGAGUGAUGAGCUCCAUAAACCAGAGGAGCGAAUUGUGGGAGUCCGGGACUCCGACUUUUCUAGUCCGGGAUUAGAGGGCAGCUUGUACAUGUUAAAAGCAAAAGUAAUAAUAAUAAAUUGUUGUUGUUGGGCAAAUAGGUUUUCCGACAGAAGCUAGAUGCAAGGAAAUGCAAAAACCUAGUAAACCAAAUACGAACUAAGGAAUUAUGCAAAUCAAAGGAUAAAAGGAAUUUAUGGUAGAGAAAGGGACAGUGAAGACUACUUUAACUGCAGUUGUCACGCACAUUGGGCACAAGCUUCCUUAGGAAAGAACAAAAGAGGGGGAAGUAAAGCUGGCAAAGAAGGGAGGAAGACUUUCUUAUAUGACCAGGGACUGUUAGCGGAUGCAGGAGGGGAGAAAAAAGAUGAUCUGCUGAGCCAAUUUGAAAGACAUUUUACACAUGGAGGAUAAUAUACCACAUGUGACCCUAAAAAUUGGGGAAAAGACAUAAUAUUACUCUGUGAUUGUGGACUCACACGGGCAGUAAUCUAAAUGCUAUCUAAUGUUGUCUAAAGAAAUGGGUAAAAAAACCUGUGAAAAUGGAAAAUAGGGAGUCUGGAGAAACAAACUGUGAGUGCUGGAGUCUGUUGCUCAUCCUUAGGCCCUGUAAAUUUGCAGGGGAGAAAUUUAAUGACUAAACUAGGAAUAGAACCAGUAAAAAUAAUCCCCUAAACAUUUUAAAGCCCUCACUGAAGACAGCACCCACUAAAAAAAAAGAAAAGAAAAGAAAGGGUGAGCCGAGAUGUAUCUAAAUUCCACACAUGGAACCAAAUAAUCAUGAGCUGGAGAACAAAGAGUAUGAUGUAACAGCAGUAGCUGAAGUGAAAAGCAUUUAGGAUGAGCAUAUCGAAAAUCCUAACCAGAAGAGAUGUGUUACUGAAUGUUUUUGUUGAUAAACACAGCCUUAAUUAUGUGUAUGUAAAUGUGUAUAUUCUUUAAAUUGUUUUGUGUGUUGUGUCAUGUUAUAAUUUGGGGCAUAACUGGAUAAACAGGAGGGAAAUGAUGGAAAAAAUAUGUUACGCAAUGUACUAAUUAGUGUGAGUUGUAUGAUAGUCAAGGGCACACUCAGUACACUUAAUGCAAGCAUGCCUGGUUACCAAAAAAAGUAUUACAGUAUCUGCUUAUUAAACGACAGACGCUUAUAACUGUUCUUGUGAGAAGCCUGUAAAAGGAAAAGUGUUGUUGUGUGACAGUUUUACGACAAAGGAGGUUGGGACUGAUAAAAUGUAAUAAAGCUCACUGGGGAUUUCCACUUUUGACCACUUGCAUGAAACCUUGUAUUUGAUGCUUUUGCUCCUUUGCAAGAAUAAAAGCUCCAGUUUUUGACUGUUGUUCAUAUUUGCUAAUUUUUAUUCUGACACUUGCCCUGAAUCAUUCUUGAUUUUCUACAAGGCUGAAACUCUGAAGGUAGCGAUGACACACUCAAAACAAGUACUGAGGUAAACCAAAAAUUUAAAAUGAACAUUUACAACAGAACUUGAGUUUACUUCAUCUGAAAUAAUGUUAACC
ensembl:lncRNA